rnacentral:rRNA from 1 species
AAUGAACGCUGGCGGCAGGCCUAACACAUGCAAGUCGAACGGAUCCUUCGGGAUUAGUGGCGGACGGGUGAGUAACGCGUGGGAACAUACCCUUUGGUACGGAAUAGCCUCGGGAAACUGGGAGUAAUACCGUAUGUGGUCGAGAGACGAAAGAUUUAUCGCCAAAGGAUUGGCCCGCGUUGGAUUAGGUAGUUGGUGGGGUAAUGGCCUACCAAGCCGACGAUCCAUAGCUGGUCUGAGAGGAUGGUCAGCCACACUGGGACUGAGACACGGCCAAGGCGCCUUCGGGAGGCGGCAGUGAGGAAUCUUAGACAAUGGGGGAAACCCUGAUCUAGCCAUGCCGCGUGAUCGAUGAAGGCCUUAGGGUUGUAAAGAUCUUUCAGGUGGGAAGAUAAUGACUGUACCACCAGAAAAAGCCCCGGCUAACUCCGUGCCAGCCGCCGCGGUAA